GUUCCCGCACACGUGGCUGAAGGUCGCGGAGCUCUUUGCCGACACGGUGGCCAUGUGGUCCCGCAGCUCCUUGCCACACGGGCAUGCAAACAUGACCCUGAAUGGCCCUGCCUGCGGCCUGCCCCGCUCCAGGGCCUUCUGCUGCUGAUGGUGCAGAUGCGGCUGGUGCUGGUCAAACCGGUGGUGGUGGUGCUGGUGCUGUUCGGGCUCCUGCUGCACCGGCAGUAGCGCCAGCAGCUGGAGCAGGUACAGGGCGGCCGCCAGCGGCAGCACCACCACCACCACCACCGGUUCGACCAGCACCAGCCGCACCUGCACCACCAGCAGCGGAUAGAAGGCUCCGGAGCGGGGCAGGCCCAGGCAGGGCCAUUCAGGGUCAAGUUUGCAUGCCCGUGUGGCAAGACGCUGCGGUACCACAUGGCCACCGUGUCGGCGAAGGGCUCCGUGACCUUCAGCCACUUGUGCGGGAAC
rnacentral:pre_miRNA from 1 species